CGGCGGACGGGUGAGUAACACGUGGAUAACCUACCUAUAAGGCUGGGAUAACUUCGGGAAACCGGAGCUAAUACCGGAUAAUAUAUUGAACCGCAUGGUUCAAUAGUGAAAGACGGUUUUGCUGUCACUUAUAGAUGGAUCCGCGCCGCAUUAGCUAGUUGGUAAAGUAACGGCUUACCAAGGCAACGAUGCGUAGCCGACCUGAGAGGGUGAUCGGCCACACUGGAACUGAGACACGGUCCAG
rnacentral:rRNA from 1 species